CUCACAUGUGGCAUUUCCCCGUGGUAUCAGAGCAGGACUACAGACCUCCCAUAGGAGAGAUCAAGCUACCUUUCACCUAUGAAAUGUGUUUGUUCCACUCUGAGAGGGCUGCAGUCCUUGUGAUGGGGAUAUCAUUAAAAGGCACGGGGGAGCUAGAGUCAACUUUGGAGAGACUCAUAGAUGAAUGGUAACGCGAGUCCUGCUGAGAUCUGAGCCUCAGCAUCCAGGGAUUCUGAACGUUUGAAGCAGCUGCUGAGCCCACUAAGCCAGGGCUCCACCUCCAGCAGGACAGCCACUCUGCACAGGAGCUCACUUCACCAGCCGUUUCCCCACCACCCAGGUGGGAAGUUCUGUGGAAGCCAUACUACUUGAGAAGUUGAACAGACAUCCUCAAUAAUCAGGUGAUCAGGAGGGGAAUCACAACACAUU